CUCUUUCCUUUCUGCCGGGGACCGUUGGGUGUCUUAAUUGCCAUCCCUCGGGAGUCGGCGUUGUUACUUUGAAAAAAUUAGAGUGUUCAAAGCAAGCCAUCGCUCUGAAUACAUUAGCAUGGAAUAACAUGAUAGGACUCCGCUCUUAUUUUGUUGGUUUCCGAGACUGGAGUAAUGAUUAAGAGGGACAGUCGGGGGCAUCCGUAUUUCAUUGUCAGAGGUGAAAUUCUUGGAUUUAUGAAAGACGAACUUCUGCGAAAGCAUUUGCCAAGGAUGUUUUCAUUAAUCAAGAACGAAAGUUGGGGGCUCGAAGAUGAUCAGAUACCAUCCUAGUCUCAACCAUAAACGAUGCCGACUAGGGAUUGGCGGAUGUUCCUUAGAUGACUCCGCCAGCACCUUAUGAGAAAUCAUUAAGUUUUUGGGUUCCGGGGGGAGUAUGGUCGCAAGGCUGAAACUUAAAGGAAUUGACGGAAGGGCACCACCAGGCGUUGUUUGCUACAAGCUCUAAGCGC
rnacentral:rRNA from 1 species